rnacentral:rRNA from 1 species
UACGUAGGUGACCAGCGUUGUCCGGAUUUACUGGGCGUAAAGAGCGCGCAGGCGGUCGUUCAAGUCGAGUGUGAAAGCCCCCGGCUCAACUGGGGAGGGUCAUUCGAUACUGAUCGACUGGAAGGCAGGAGAGGGAAGCGGAAUUCCCGGUGUAGUGGUGAAAUGCGUAGAUAUCGGGAGGAACACCGGUGGCGAAGGCGGCGACCUGGGUAGAUACUGACGCUGAGGUGCGAAAGCGUGGGGAGCAAACAGG